ensembl:lncRNA
CGGAACUGGAGAUACUGUGGAGGUGGAAGAAUCCAGGUUGGAUUUAGAGGGCUGUAGUCCCCACUGGCUUCAAGAAAAACAUUGUUGCCCUGAUGCCUUCAACCAUCGAUGAGGAAAAUAAAGGCUUCAUACCCAUAGCCCUUUCCCCUGUCACAAUGAACAGAGACCAAUCAGCCUGUAGGGAGGAAGUGAGUAAACUUAAAUAGUGACACCUAGGAGACAACCUCUUCCCUCACAACAGCAAAACAAAUUAGCUCAUUUGUUGACUUCAGGAAGCAAGACUGCGGAGGAGAGAUUCCACUUCACGAAGGACUUGAUGUGGUCCAACAACACCAGCACCCAUGUUGACACAAUUGCUCCUUCCGUUAGCAUUGGGCAAUGGUACUGGAGCAAAGGGUCCGAUAGCAACAGGCUCAGAGACAUUUUCUACAGACACAGACACACAAACCCACACAGGAAUAUUUUAAAGGAAUAUUUUACUGAUCCAUUUACACGUUUUCUAUUAUUUCUAAUUGUUGUAUAGCCCAAAGAAACUUGCGAAUCAAAGUUUUGUUGGAUGGUAUAUAAUGUUUGCAUCCUUUAGAUGCAACUUAUUAUUGUCCAUUACCGGUUGCACAAAUUGUAACAAUGUAAAUGUGAGCAGUUGUUAAAAUCCAUGGAAGUGUUUUCUUGUGUUCAUUAAAUACUCAAUAAAC